rnacentral:rRNA from 2 species
UGAGGAAUAUUGGUCAAUGGACGAGAGUCUGAACCAGCCAAGUCGCGUGAAGGAAGACGGUUCUAUGAAUUGUAAACUUCUUUUGUGCAGGAAUAAAGUGGGUUACGUGUAACCUUUUGUAUGUACUGUACGAAUAAGGAUCGGCUAACUCCGUGCCAGCAGCCGCGGUAAUACGGAGGAUCCGAGCGUUAUCCGGAUUUAUUGGGUUUAAAGGGUGCGUAGGUGGAUUGAUAAGUCAGCGGUGAAAGUUUGCAGCUUAACUGUAAAAUUGCCGUUGAAACUGUCGGUCUUGAGUGCAAAUGAGGUAGGCGGAAUGUGUUGUGUAGCGGUGAAAUGCUUAGAUAUAACACAGAACUCCGAUUGCGAAGGCAGCUUACUGGGAUGCAACUGACACUGAUGCACGAAAGCGUGGGUAUCAAACAGG